GAUGAACGCUAGCGGCAGGCCUAACACAUGCAAGUCGAGGGGUAUAGUUCUUCGGAACUAGAGACCGGCGCACGGGUGCGUAACGCGUAUGCAAUCUACCUUUUACAGGGGAAUAGCCCAGAGAAAUUUGGAUUAAUGCCCCAUAGUGUUAUAGAAUCGCAUGGUUUUAUAACUAAAGUUCCAACGGUAAAAGAUGAGCAUGCGUCCCAUUAGUUAGUUGGUAAGGUAACGGCUUACCAAGACAAUGAUGGGUAGGGGUCCUGAGAGGGAGAUCCCCCACACUGGUACUGAGACACGGACCAGACUCCUACGGGAGGCAGCAGUGAGGAAUAUUGGACAAUGGGCGCAAGCCUGAUCCAGCCAUGCCGCGUGCAGGAAGACGGUCCUAUGGAUUGUAAACUGCUUUUGACAGGAAGAAACACUCCCUCGUGAGGGANCUUGACGGUACUGUAAGAUAAGGAUCGGCUAACUCCGUG
rnacentral:rRNA from 1 species